rnacentral:rRNA from 1 species
UACAGAGGGUGCAAGCGUUGUUCGGAAUUAUUGGGCGUAAAGAGCUCGUAGGCGGCUUGUUGCGUCAGCUGUGAAAACCCGCAGCUCAACUGUGGGCUUGCAGCUGAUACGGGCAGGCUUGAGUUCGGUAGGGGAGACUGGAAUUCCUGGUGUAGCGGUGAAAUGCGUAGAUAUCGAGAGGAACACCUGCGGCGAAGGCGGGUUGCUGGGCUGACACUGACGCUGAUGUGCGAAAGCUAGGGGAGCGAACGGG